CCCUGAGGCUUAAAACCUUCAACAACGCUUCCUCUGGGGUGUAAGCUCUUCUUACUGGCUCACCCUGUGGAGGGAGUGUACUUUCACCUUCAAUAAACCUUUGAUCUUGCUGCUCCUUUUGCGUGUCCUGCUCAAUUCUUUGUUCAAGACACUAAGAACUUGGAUAAGACCCUUCAUCGAGUAACAAUUUUGUAUUAUUUAACCCAAACUUCUGCCACAUGAGGAAGUAAGAAAAAUCUUUCCCUCACUGGCAUCUGCUUUUGUCUGAAACUUCUCAUCCAAACAGCUUAGACUUUCUUGGUAUUCUGGCAUAAAUACUCUGAAGAACCCAUUAGAAGACUUGAAAGAGUACAGAAAGAGGAAAUCUCAAGAAUAGGUAAGAUUCUGCUUUGUGAGAAAGGGAAGUCGUGUGUCUGCUCUCCGAAACUCUGUUCUCAGUAAAAGCACCAUCAGGUCGAGAAAACAUGUACGUCAAUCAGUUCCUCUUUGCUUAAAUGAAUUCCGCAUGAAUUUGUCAUUUGCAACCAAGAGUUCUGACAAAUACAUUGCACAAGAAAAGAGAAAUCAUGAAUCAUGAAAAAUGGAUCUUAAUUCCUUUAAGAUGAUGGAGCCAGCAGCAAAUCACAUCUCUGUGCUGGGAACAGAGACAUCUAGAGAACAACUUCUUCGUGAGAAGAAAGAGAAGAGCUCUGGGAAUCAAGAAAGAACCAGUAGGAAAGCUAAAAAUCACAGAGAACAGAAGACAACCAGAGAAAGGAAUGAAGCAGUGUGGAAAGCUAACUCUGACUCCAGGGUAGAGGGGAUCUCACCCCCAAACACAAGAACCUAUGGAUGCCAAAUGGGACACAGAGUGAACAGCCUCUUCCAGGGAUACCUGAGAAAGCAGAAGACUGACCUUAGCAGUUGUUGUAUUACCUCCUCACAGAGGGGUCUGGACAAAGCCGUUGUCAAAGCAUGGGUUUCGCUCCGAUGUUGUUCUGCUUGCUCCAUCUGGGACUCAGAUGCAUUCUCCUUUACCACUGAAUUCCUCAACUUGGACCACACCACAUCUGCUACCUGGAAAGUCUGACAAACAGCCUGGAAUAUCUGCCUACGAGCAAAUAUUUAUACUGUUGGAGUUACAUGUAUCAUUUAGCCUAUCUUACCUCAGAGUGUUUUUGCUUUACACUGAGUCAGAUACAGAACUUAAAACUUCUUAGUUUUGUGAAUGUUGAAUAGUAAAUUUUUUGUUUUGGUCAGCCUAUCCUGUCUUCAGAGGUGCUGAUUUCAUCAAUUACAAGCAAUAAUUAUUCAACAUUCACAAAACUAAACUAAAAUAAAUCAUAUAUAUGAUAUAUAUUAUAUAAUAUAUAGUAUAUAUAUGUAUGUAUUUUUAAAAACUUAAACUGGGCAUAGUGGAACAUGCCCAUAAUCCUGGCAUUCUGGGAGGCUGAGGCAGGAGGAUCACAAGUUCAAGUCCAGCCUGUUAGCAACUUAGUGAGACCCUGUCUCAAAAUAAAAAAAUUAAAAGUAGGACUAAGGAUGUAGCUUAGUGCAGAGGCCCUGGGUUCAAUCCCCAGGACAGAAAAAAACAAUUAAAAAUCCAGCUGAUCUUGGGGAUAAGACUAAGGCACUUCUGGUUGUUUCUGAAUGUUCCAUCUUAUCCCACCAUUUCUCAGCUUUUCUGCGUUAUAACUGGUCUCCUUUAGCUAGCCAUAAAGAGAGAAUUCCUUUUUUCAGACCAGUGAACUGACUGAUCACAUCACAUCAGCUCUAUUCUUCAGGUCAUGGCUUUGCAGCUGAGUUGUUUUAUUUACAGGUAUUUCUCGGUUUUGUUUGUUUGUUUUGCUUUGCAUUUAUAUUUGGAAAUCUAGUUGAAAAAAACAACAUUACUGGAUCCAGGAGCACCUUAUGAGAGUACACGUACCUUGCUGAUAGAAAUAAAAUCUAGAAUCUAUGACUCUCUUCUUUAGUUCCUUUCACCUGCAAGAAGAUAAGGUGCCCAGUCUAAUAGCUGAGGCAACACGUCUAUGUUUACCAUGUUGUACAUGCUUUAAUUUCCCUUAGCAGUCAUUCACCAGAGAGAGAAGGAGGAGCAACCUACAGGAAUCAGUGAUUUCUGGCAUUAAAAUUGCUGGCCACAUCAGGCUGCUUCUCACACAUGGCCCCAGUAAGACCAGAUAAAUUUCCACGGAAUCAUUCAACCUGUCUGAUUACUGUUUCCUGCUGUCAGAAGAGAUUCAAAUUUCCUACAUUUUAGGAAAUAUAUCUCUAUAUGUACAGCCUAUUGGUUCUGUUUUUCUGCAGAACCCGAAUACAAAUCUCAUAAUGAUUUAUACAAGAUCAAAUUAAAUUUCAUGAAAAGUUUGGAGAAUCUGAUUCUAUUCUAGUCUUCUUAGGAAAAUUAAAUACAUAAAUUAAUUCAAAAAAUUCUAAAUUAAAAAUGUGAGUAAUGACACGAGGCUAGAUAAAUUAGUUAUUUAAAUAUAUUAUAAAAGCUAUGAUAAUUAAAAUAUGGCACUGCUAAGAGAAGAAAAAUAUAUAGAUAUAGGAUCCAGAAUAGGCAGCCCAGAAAUUCACUUUGUUCCAUAUAAGAAGUGGCUAGACACUCACAGAUAUAUAUCAGAAGGAAGUGAAGUCAGCAUACAAAAGAUACCUGCAUGCCCAUGUGUAUUGUGCCACUUUUCACAACAGCCAAAGUAGGAAUCAGCCUCAGUGCCUUAAUAAUGGAUAAAUGUGAUACACACACACACACACACACACACACACACACACACACAAUAGAGUACUAUUCAGCCAUAAAGAAGAACGAAAUCCGUCCAUUUCCCUCAAAGUGAAUGGAACUGGAGACAUUGUGUGAAACUAGUCCCAGAAAGUUAAAAUUCACAUGCUUUCUUUUAUGUAAGCAAUCUAAAAGUAAAGACAAAUAAAUGCAAACGCAAAGGAGAGAGGACAGGAAACCAGAAGGUCGAUUUCCAGUGACAGGAAAGGGGAAGGGAGACAAAAGAAAGGGUAUGAAAGUCAUCAGACUUUGUUAAACGCGUGUACUAAUGUAUCAUUAUGAAUCUCAGUAUUGUUACUGCUAAUCUGUACCAAUAAAAAUAAAAUUACCUAUUUUUAA
ensembl:lncRNA